rnacentral:rRNA from 1 species
CAGCAGCCGCGGUAAUACGUAGGUGGCAAGCGUUGUCCGGAAUUAUUGGGCGUAAAGGGCUCGCAGGCGGUUUCUUAAGUCUGAUGUGAAAGCCCCCGGCUCAACCGGGGAGGGUCAUUGGAAACUGGGAAACUUGAGUGCAGAAGAGGAGAGUGGAAUUCCACGUGUAGCGGUGAAAUGCGUAGAGAUGUGGAGGAACACCAGUGGCGAAGGCGACUCUCUGGUCUGUAAUCGACGCUGAGGAGCGAAAGCGUGGGGAGCGAACAGGAUUAGAUACCCGCGUAGUCCCUGUCUCUUAUAC